UACGUAGGGGGCAAGCGUUAUCCGGAUUUACUGGGUGUAAAAGGGGCGCAGACGGCGAUGCAAGCCAGGAGUGAAAGCCCGGGGCCCAACCCCGGGACUGCUCUUGGAACUGCGUGGCUGGAGUGCAGGAGGGGCAGGCGGAAUUCCUGGUGUAGCGGUGAAAUGCGUGGAUAUCAGGAGGAACACCGGUGGCGAAGGCGGCCUGCUGGACUGCAACUGACGUUGAGGCCCGAAAGCGUGGGGAGCAAACAGG
rnacentral:rRNA from 1 species